rnacentral:lncRNA from 1 species
CCCAAAUCCUAUACCCAUGUAAACAAAUGAUAAAUCAUAUGUUUUCUUCUGGAUUUCUACUCCCAUAUUUCUUUCUCAGAUGUGAAUAGCAUUCUUUCUCAUACAUCCCUCAGAACGGUCCUAGGUCAUUGCAUUGCUUUUAGUAGCAAAUCCAAUUACAAUUGAUUGUCCCAUAGUGUUUCAGUUACUAGAUAUAAUGUUUUUCUGGUUCUGCUUAUUUCACUCCACAUCAGUUCAUGGAAGUCUUUCCAGUUCAUAUAGAAAUCCAUUGAUUCAUCAUUCCUUAUAGCACAAUAGUAUUCCAUCACCAUCUUAUACCACAAUUUGUUUAGCCAUUCCCCAAUCCAGGGACAUCUAAGGGUUGUUUUUAAAAAAAAUUCUAGUCGACAGACAAGGAAAUUGAGGCUUAUGAAGGUAAAGUUUGACUUGCUACUCACUUGCCCCGUAAUUCUGAAUGGCGGUCAUUGGCUUGUUUGAGUCUCCAGUUUCCUUACCUGUAAAAUGGUAAUACUGAUGUCCAUGCCCCAUCUGGCUCACUAUAACGAUCUCACACUGUCCUUGUGAGGUCACACAGAUCACAAGUGGCAGCAUGUGAACCCUAGCUCCUCUGACUCCAAAUGCAUUGUGCUCUUUUUACAGCCCUCGCUGGGGGCAUAUAUAUGCUUUCCUCUAAAGCAGCAUCUGCUCAGGGCUGAGUGUGGUGUGGACUCUUCUGAUGUGGGAGUUGAGAGGGCAGAGGGCUGAGGUGGUUAGGGAUGGCUUUUGGAAAGAGCUGAGAGUUCAUUCAAGCUAAGCCUGGAAGGAUGAAUGAGAUUUGGAAGCAGGAUAUGGAUUGGAACUGACAAUUUUAGUGACUGGCAACCUGAUAGCAUCCUCUCAAGACCAUCACUGGCCAAUCACAUCCAUAUGGGAGAACUGUUUGUGUUGUCACCUCCUCCCAGGACAUCUCUCUACCAAUGUACACAUGGAAAAGGGGAAAGAAUGUGGUUGUUCUGAAGAGCUGUGAUUACUUUCUAGGGGGGACCCUCAAGAAAAAAUCCAUAUAAAAAUUAGUAUUGACUACAGUGGAAGGGACUCUCAUGUGAUGUGUAUAGAGGGGAUGGGUGAGCAAUUCUUGACAAUGUGAACAGGAUAGCUGAGGAACCUAGAAAAUUUGGCCAUAGCAUUUUAAGGGCAUAUUCUUUCCUACUAUAUUUGUCUCUCUAUUCUGCCUUUAGUUAAAGAAAAUUAAAAAUUAGAAAAAUUUUGACCACCAGAAAAAGGCCCC